rnacentral:lncRNA from 1 species
GGGCGCCGGAGGGCCAGGGCAGGGCAGGACAUCACAUCAGAGGGCAGGCCAGGACAUCGUGUGUGUUGAGAUUAAACAGGUUCUUUAUAUAGGCCUGCUAGGGCCCAAGCAAGCUGCUUUAUCUGUCUGUCAUUAAACCGCUCUAAAUGUGUCCAGGCACAGCACUGCCUGCCUGGUUACAUGGCUGCUAUUUCAAAUCAACUCCCAUUGUAUUUUUCACCUGUAAACAACAGGUGUAAACAACAGGUGUAAACAACAGGUGGAAACAACAGGUGUAAACAACAGGUGUAAACAACAGGUGUAAACAACAGGUGUAAACAACAGGUGUAAACAACAGGUGUAAACAACAGGUGUAAACAACAGGUGUAAACAACAGGUGGAGACUAAGUGAAAUGCUUACAGGUCCAUUUCCAACAAGAGAAAAUGGAAAUAGUGACACAAUGAAUAACGAAUAAAGAGUUAAAAUAACAUGGUUAUAUACAGGAAGUACCGGGUAAUAACAUGGUUAUAUACAGGAAGUACCGGGUAAUAACAUGGUUGUGUACAGGAAGUACCGGGUAAUAACAUGGUUGUGUACAGGAAGUACCGGGUAAUAACAUGGUUGUGUACAGGAAGUACCGG